rnacentral:rRNA from 1 species
UACGGGGGGAGCAAGCGUUGUUCGGAUUUACUGGGCGUAAAGGGCGCGUAGGCGGUCAGCACAAGUCAGUUGUGAAAUCUCCGGGCUUAACUCGGAAAGGUCAACUGAUACUGUGCGACUAGAGUGCAGAAGGGGCAACUGGAAUUCUCGGUGUAGCGGUGAAAUGCGUAGAUAUCGAGAGGAACACCUGCGGCGAAGGCGGGUCUCUGGGCCUUACCUGACGCUGAGGAGCGAAAGCGUGGGGAGCGAACAGG